GGGUCCGUAGCUCAAUCGGUAGAGCAGGAGCCUUUUAAGCUCAAGGUUCCGGGUUCGAUUCCCGGCGGACCCA
rfam:Candidatus Thrbacteria bacterium RIFCSPLOWO2_02_FTLL_49_11 rifcsplowo2_02_scaffold_142352, whole genome shotgun sequence.